rnacentral:rRNA from 1 species
AGGACGAACGCUGGCGGCGUGCUUAACACAUGCAAGUCGAGCGGAAAGGCCCUUCGGGGUACUCGAGCGGCGAACGGGUGAGUAACACGUGAGCAACCUGCCCUUAGCUUCGGGAUAGCUCCGGGAAACCGGAAUUAAUACCGAAUAUGACUGCGGCUGACAUCAGCCACAGUGGAAAGUUUUUCGGCUAGGGAUGGACUCGCGGCCUAUCAGCUAGUUGGUGAGGUAACGGCCCACCAAGGCGACGACGGGUAGCCGGCCUGAGAGGGCGAUCGGCCACACUGGGACUGAGACACGGCCCAGACUCCUACGGGAGGCAGCAGUGGGGAAUAUUGCGCAAUGGGCGAAAGCCUGACGCAGCGACGCCGCGUGGGGGAUGAAGGCCUUCGGGUUGUAACCCCUUUCAGCAGGGACGAAGCGAAAGUGACGGUACCUGCAGAAGAAGCGCCGGCUAACUACGUGCCAGCAGCCGC